GACGAACGCUGGCGGCGUGCCUAAUACAUGCAAGUUGAGCGAUGAAGAUUGGUGCUUGCACCAAUUUGAAGAGCAGCGAACGGGUGAGUAACGCGUGGGAAAUCUGCCUUUGAGCGGGGGACAACAUUUGGAAACGAAUGCUAAUACCGCAUAAUAACUUUAAACAUAAGUUUUAAGUUUGAAAGAUGCAAUUGCAUCACUCAAAGAUGAUCCCGCGUUGUAUUAGCUAGUUGGUGAGGUAAAGGCUCACCAAGGCGAUGAUACAUAGCCGACCUGAGAGGGUGAUCGGCCACAUUGGGACUGAGACACGGCCCAAACUCCUACGGGAGGCAGCAGUAGGGAAUCUUCGGCAAUGGACGAAAGUCUGACCGAGCAACGCCGCGUGAGUGAAGAAGGUUUUCGGAUCGUAAAACUCUGUUGGUAGAGAAGAACGUUGGUGAGAGUGGAAAGCUCAUCAAGUGACGGUAACUACCCAGAAAGGGACGGCUAACUACGUG
rnacentral:rRNA from 1 species